GUAACGAUUGUUUGUAUCAGAACAGGUAAUGCUACAUGCAAAAAAGGUUUUUUAUAGUUCCGACGGCAGAAUAAGUCGCCACCGAAGGAGAAGGAAAAAAGGUACUCGUAUAAAAAGGGAUUCGGUUAAUGUGGAGCGCGUGAGAGUUGCCUCUACCGCCAGGAAUACGCGGCGUACCAGGCUACCUGAGGGGCCGCAACCACACCGAUUGGAUAGAUAAUGAUCCUUCCGCAGGUUCACCUACGGAAA
rnacentral:misc_RNA from 1 species